rnacentral:rRNA from 1 species
GAUGAACGCUGGCGGUAUGCUUAACACAUGCAAGUCGAACGGUACCUUCGGGUAUAGUGGCGGACGGGUGAGUAACGCGUGAGAAUCUGUAUUCAGGUCGGGGACAACAGUUAGAAAUGACUGCUAACACCGGAUGUGCCGAAAGGUGAAAGAUUUAUUGCCUGAAAAAGAGCUCGCGUCAGAUUAGCUAGUAGGUGGUGUAAGAGACUACCUAGGCGACGAUCUGUAGCUGGUCUGAGAGGACGAUCAGCCACACUGGAACUGAGACACGGUCCAGACUCCUACGGGAGGCAGCAGUGGGGAAUUUUUCCGCAAUGGGCGAAAGCCUGACGAAGCAAUACCGCGUGAGGGACGAAGGCUUUUGGGUCGUAAACCUCUUUUCUCAAGGAAGACACAGGACGGUACUUGAGGAAUAAGCAUCGGCUAACUCUGUGCCAGGAGCCGCGGUAAU